rnacentral:rRNA from 1 species
UACGAAGGGGGCUAGCGUUGUUCGGAAUUACUGGGCGUAAAGGGCGCGUAGGCGGCCAUUCAAGUUAGGUGUGAAAGCCCUGGGCUCAACCUAGGAAUUGCACUUGAUACUGUUUGGCUUGAGUUCGGGAGAGGUGAGUGGAAUUCCUGGUGUAGCGGUGAAAUGCGCAGAUAUCAGGAGGAACACCAAUGGCGAAGGCAGCUCGCUGGGACGGUACUGACGCUGAGACGCGAAAGCGUGGGGAGCAAACAGG